rnacentral:lncRNA from 1 species
AAACUGAAUUUCCCCUCCCUCUCUCUCUCUCUAAAUCUCUGUUCUUCUUCUUCUUAUCUUUCAUUUCUAUGAGUCAUUUCUCUCCUUCUUUCUAUUUCUAAUCUGGUUCUUCUGAUUUUCUACAUUUUUCCUUCCCCUCUCUUUUUACAUUUCAGUAUUUUAUUAUAAUUUCAUUUCAAUUUAUAGAAUUACAGCUAGGAUUAUUAAUUCCCAGCUGAUUGCUUCAAUUGAGCGUUGAUUUUAAGUCGAAUUUAGUUAGUUUUGGUUUAAGUUGAGCUCCAACUAUUAACACUUCCCUUUAAAUACAGCUUGAAGCUCUCACAUCCCAUUUUGAUCUGAAACGGUGCAAGAGCUGUGAUCUCCUUCCAGCUAGCUGGAUGUCUGUCCCUUGUUAUACUUUUUCCUUGCAAGUUUAUGCAAUGUAUUUACAUUGUGAUUAGAUUGUUUGAGACCCUUACUUUAUCUUCUUUUGGAUAAACAAAUCUGGUGCAGGUAUCCAAUUUAUGAAAAAUACCUAUUGCCUUGAUGCUAGGGAAUCCGGAUUUUGACCUCCCUGUUAAUGCAAGCUGCAAAUUCUAGCAAAGCUGUAGCAUUGUUGAUUCAUCUUUGAAGAUUUCCUUGCAGAUCUUCGGCCUUGCUUCAUUCAAGUUGAGAGGUUUAGUUCUGAGUCCUCUCGAACCAAAAGAAUGCGAGCAAGAAGGUUCGCUUUGGCAAGAUGCUGAAUCUUGACUUCAACAUUUGCGUGUUGUUCUCUCCGACUUUCAAUUUUACCGUGCUCACUGCCUUCAACAGAGAUGAUGGGGCCCAGAAGUUUCUUGGUCUGUCCAAAUCUCCUUACAGUAGGCAGAAGUUGUGCAAAAAAUGUGCAGUCAUUGUGCAAUGUUGUUCAAGCUUUUUGGAUAUAUAAUAACGUGUAAAAUUCUUCCAGUAGCAUAUAUUUCUUCAAAAAGUUGGACAUAUCACUUAGUUUCAGCCGGUCGAUCGGCCGUACAUGAUAAAAUUGACAGUAGAACUACUGAAAAUAUAGGGACAGUCAAG